rnacentral:rRNA from 1 species
GUGGGGAAUAUUGGACAAUGGGCGCAAGCCUGAUCCAGCCAUGCCGCGUGUGUGAAGAAGGCCUUUUGGUUGUAAAGCACUUUAAGCGAGGAGGAGGCUACCGAGAUUAAUACUCUUGGAUAGUGGACGUUACUCGCAGAAUAAGCACCGGCUAACUCUGUGCCAGCAGCCGCGGUAAUACAGAGGGUGCAAGCGUUAAUCGGAUUUACUGGGCGUAACGCGCGCGUAGGUGGCCAAUUAAGUCAAAUGUGAAAUCCCCGAGCUUAACUUGGGAAUUGCAUUCGAUACUGGUUGGCUAGAGUAUGGGAGAGAAUGGUAGAAUUCCAGGUGUAGCGGUGAAAUGCGUAGAGAUCAGGAGGAAUACCGAUGGCGAAGGCAGCCAUCUGGCCGAAUACUGACACUGAGGUGCGAAAGCAUGGGGAGCAAACAGGAUUAGAUACCCCGGUAGUCC